UCGAGAAUCUUCGGCAAUGGGCGCAAGCCUGACCGAGCGACGCUGCGUGCGGGAUGAAGGCCCUUGGGUUGUAAACCGCUGUCAGAGGGGAUCAAAGCGCAAGCUUGAGAGAGCCUCAGAGGAAGCGCGGGCUAAGUUCGUGCCAGCAGCCGCGGUAAUACGAACUGCGCGAACGUUAUUCGGAAUCACUGGGCUUACAGGGUGCGUAGGCGGCCCGUCAGGUCCGAUGUGAAAUCCCCCGGCUCAACCG
rnacentral:rRNA from 1 species